CAGCAGCCACGGGAAUACGAAGGGUGCAAGCGUUAAUCGGAAUUACUGGGCGUAAAGCGUGCGUAGGCGGUUUGUUAAGUCUGUUGUGAAAUCCCCGGGCUCAACCUGGGAAUGGCAAUGGAUACUGGCAAGCUAGAGUGUGUCAGAGGAUGGUGGAAUUCCCGGUGUAGCGGUGAAAUGCGUAGAGAUCGGGAGGAACAACAGUGGCGAAGGCGGCCAUCUGGGACAACACUGACGCUGAGGCACGAAAGCGUGGGGAGCAAACAAGAUUAGAUACCCGUGUAGUCCCUGUCUCUUAUAU
rnacentral:rRNA from 1 species